AUGAGCUGCCUCCACGCCCUACUCAACCACGCCGCGGAGUCUGGAGUUCUAGCACCACUCGCUCCGACGGGUCUGAGGAACCGCACCUCGAUCUUCACGGAUGAUGUGGUCACCUUUAUCAGGCUGGAGGCCCAAAGUAUCCGGGCAUGUAGCCUUCUUCUCCAAGACUUCGGGAAGGCAUCAGGCCUGCACACGAACCUAGGGAAGUGUUCUGCGCACCCGAUUAGGUGCACCGAUGAGCAGAUCGGCACCAUAGCUGCCGAGUUGGGUUGCCCAGUGUUGGGGUGGCCAUGUAGAUACCUUGGCCUGCCACUCGGACUAAGGAAGAUCACAGCGAGUCAACUACAAUUCCUGGUGGACAAGAUGGCGGACAGACUACCAGCUUGGCAAGCGAGACUGCUGUACCGUGCCGGGCGA
rnacentral:rRNA from 1 species